AUUAAAGUAGCUAACCAUUGAUGACAUAUAUGGACCGAAAGCAAACUCCCAACGCGCCACCCUCUUCGCCACCGUUGCCGCCGCCGCUGCACCAGGACGACGCCGACGAAGAUGAUGAGACUGUGAAGCAGCUCAACCAAUGCUCUUCUCUAUACUUAUCUUUACAGGAUUGUCUGAUAAAUACUGACAGGAAUUGGAAGUCGUGUCAAAAGGAAGUUCAGGCUCUCAAGGCAUGUAAUGAAAGAAGACAGAAAGACAAGAGGAGUUGAGAAAUCAUUUUGAUUUUCGGUGGAUGAUGCUUCAACUUUGAUCGUUAUGGAUUAUUACGUGGACCUAAUUUUUACAGCGGCUAUGCAGUCUUUUCCUUAAAUUUGCUGAGGUUUUCUCAGGCAUAAAUGGACCAGUAGAAGUCUCGCAAGAUGCAACUCAAAGAGGAGAAAUGGAGAGUAUUUCUAAUGCUAUUUUUGCGGAGAGAUAAAAUCAUUAUAAUUCAUGUCUAAGGGGAUCAAAAUACAAGCACCACCAGCAGUUAAAUUACAAUACUUGUAUGUUAAAUUAACCCCUUUGUACAUUCAAAAGAGAACAUAUACAAAGAGAGAAAAUAAAACGA